rnacentral:rRNA from 1 species
AUGUGUGUGGCAAAACGAGAUGGUGGAAUGGGCUUUAGGGAACCAGAGGCUUUCAACCAGGCAUUAUUGGCCAAGCAGGCAUGGCGGAUUAUUCAGCAUCCGAACUCGUUGCAUGCAAGGGUUCUCAAGGCAAGGUAUUUCCCGGAUGGAUCAAUCAUGAAUGCAACAUGCCCCUCGGGUGGCUCCUAUACGUUUAGGAGCAUCAUUCAUGGG